rnacentral:rRNA from 1 species
GCUUGCUCCCGGAUGUUAGCGGCGGACGGGUGAGUAACACGUGGGUAACCUGCCUGUAAAACUGGGAUAACUCCGGGAAACCGGAGCUAAUACCGGAUAGUUCCUUGAACCGCAUGGUUCAAGGAUGAAAGACGGUUUCGGCUGUCACUUACAGAUGGACCCGCGGCGCAUUAGCUAGUUGGUGGGGUAAUGGCUCACCAAGGCGACGAUGCGUACCCCACCUGAGAGGGUGAUCGGCCACACUGGGACUGAGACACGGCCCAGACUCCUACGGGAGGCAGCAGUAGGGAAUCUUCCGCAAUGGACGAAAGUCUGACGGAGCAACGCCGCGUGAGUGAUGAAGGUUUUCGGAUCGUAAAGCUCUGUUGUUAGGGAAAAACAAGUGCGAGAGUAACUGCUCGCACCUUGACGGUACCUAACCAGAAAGCCACGGCUAACUACGUGCCAGCAGCCGCGGUAAUACGUAGGUGGCAAGCGUUGUCCGGAAUUAUUGGGCGUAAAGGGCUCGCAGGCGGUUUCUUAAGUCUGAUGUGAAACCCCCCGGCUCACCCGGGGAGGGUCAUUGGAAACUGGGAAACUUGAGUGCAGAAGAGGAGAGUGGAACUCCACGUGUAGCGGUGAAAUGCGUAGAGAUGUGGAGGAACACCAGUGGCGAAGGCGACUCUCUGGUCUGUAACUGACGCU